CUAGGAAACAAAUAAUAUGAAAAUUUUCAUACCUCAAUUUUUUUCGAAAGCAAAAAGUUUCCCCAACAUGCAACUAAUUCUAAAAAAAUGUUCUGCAGCUGGCAUUAAUUAUUAUCUCGCAAAUAUUGUAACAGUUUCGUAAUCUUCAACUUUCAUUCUGAAUUUGUGUAUGGAUGUAGCAUAGUCAUUGAAUUCCUUGUCUGCAGUCUACAAAGCGGUUCCUGCGCGAGUUGUGACAUUUCCAAAGCGGCGAAGAAAAAUUCGACGAUAUUCAAUGCCAAUGGUCCCAUUAUUUGGACGACUAUACGCAACGGUGUUGUAAUUGAGCAAUUUACUGAGCAGUAAUUUUGUAAGUUUUAGUAAAGUUGGCCAUCUUUGAAAAGCAUGGCUAGGAAACAAUAUUUCUGCAAUGGCAUUGUCAACGAGGUAAGAGGUAAAAAUUCGGAGAAAUAUCAAAAUUUUCAAAUGUUUCCCCACUAUAUUCACAAAUCGAAAUAUCCGAUUUCCUAUAACGGUCCAUUUGUAUCGAUCAUAUCAGACUGUGUAGGGAC